CCUACGGGAGGCAGCAGUGGGGAAUAUUGCGCAAUGGGCGAAAGCCUGACGCAGCGACGCCGCGUGAGGGAUGAAGGUCUUCGGAUCAUAAACCUCUGUCAGCAGGGAAGAACGGUCACUGUGCUAAUCAGCAGUGAAUUGACGGUACCUGCAAAGGAAGCACCGGCUAACUCCGUGCCAGCAGCCGCGGUAAUACGGAGGGUGCGAGCGUUAAUUGGAAUUACUGGGCGUAAAGCGCUCGUAGGCGGUAUGUCAAGUCAAGGGUGAAAUCCCCGCGCUCAACGUGGGAACUGCCUUUGAAACUGGCAAACUGGAGUGUGUGAGAGGAGAGUAGAAUUCCAGGUGUAGGAGUGAAAUCCGUAGAUAUCUGGAGGAACACCAGUGGCGAAGGCGACCAGCUGGAAAAUAACUGACGCUGAGGAGCGAAAGCGUGGGUAGCAAACAGGAUUAGAUACCCCGGUAGUC
rnacentral:rRNA from 1 species